UACGAAGGGGGCUAGCGUUGCUCGGAAUCACUGGGCGUAAAGCGCACGUAGGCGGCUUUUUAAGUCAGAGGUGAAAUCCUGGAGCUCAACUCCAGAACUGCCUUUGAUACUGGAGAGCUUGAGUCCGGGAGAGGUGAGUGGAACUGCGAGUGUAGAGGUGAAAUUCGUAGAUAUCAGGAAGAACACCCGUGGCUAAGGCGGCUCUCUAGUACGUGACUGACGCUGAGACGCGAAAGCGUGGGGAGCGAACAGG
rnacentral:rRNA from 1 species